rnacentral:rRNA from 1 species
AUUGAACGCUGGCGGCAUGCCUUACACAUGCAAGUCGAACGGUAACGGGGCAUGGGGUGGCGAUGAGUGGCGAAGGGGGGAGUAAUACAUCGGAACGUGCCGGAACCUGGGUGUUAACGGGGGGUAAGGUAGGGUAAUACAGGAUAAGACCGAAGACUGACAGCGGGGGAAAGCAGGGGCUUGUGCGGCCGUGCGGGACGUAAGGAGGCGAUGUCGGAUUAGGUAGUUGGUGGGGUAAAGGCUCACCAAGGCGACGAUCCGUAGCUGGUCUGAGAGGAUGAUCAGCCACACUGGGACUGAGACACGGCCCAGACUCCUACGGGAGGCAGCAGUGGGGAAUAUUGGACAAUGGGCGCAAGCCUGAUCCAGCCAUGCCGCGUGCAUGAUGAAGGCCUUCGGGUUGUAAACUGCUUUUGUUCGGAACGAAAAGCCGUAUUUUAAUACAGGAGUGUCAUGACGGUACCGAAAGAAUAAGCACCGGCUAACUACGUG